CACGUGGGAACCUUCCCUAUAGUACGGAAUAGCCCAGGUAAACUUGGAGUAAUACCGUAUACGCCCGAGAGGGGAAAGAUUUAUCGCUAUAGGGUGGGCCCGCGUAGGAUUAGCUAGUUGGUGAGGUAAUGGCUCACCAAGGCGACGAUCCUUAGCUGGUUUGAGAGAACGAUCAGACACACUGGGACUGAGACACGGACCAGACUCCUACGGGAGGCAGCAGUGGGGAAUAUUGGACAAUGGGCGCAAGCCUGAUCCAGCCAUGCCGCGUGAGUGAUGAAGGCCUUAGGGUUGUAAAGCUAUUUUGACGGGGACGAUAAUGACGGUACCCGGAGAAUAAG
rnacentral:rRNA from 1 species